GACGAACGCUGGCGGCGUGCUUAACACAUGCAAGUCGAACGGUAAGGCCCUUCGGGGUACACGAGUGGCGAACGGGUGAGUAACACGUGGGUGAUCUGCCCUGCACUUCGGGAUAAGCCUGGGAAACUGGGUCUAAUACCGGAUAGGACUCCUGGCUUCAUGGUUGGGGGUGGAAAGCUUUUGCGGUGUGGGAUGGGCCCGCGGCCUGUCAGCUUGUUGGUGGGGUAAUGGCCUACCAAGGCGACGAGGGGUAGCCGGCCUGAGAGGGUGACCGGUCACACUGGGACUGAGAUACGGCCCAGGCUCACACGGGAGGCAGCAGUGGGGAAUAUUGCACAAUGGGCGCAAGCCUGAUGCAGCGACGCCGCGUGAGGGAUGACGGCCUUCGGGUUGUAAACCUCUUUCAGCUAUGACGAAGCGCAAGUGACGGUAGUAGCAGAAGAAGGACCGGCCAACUACGUGCCAGCAGCCGCCGUAA
rnacentral:rRNA from 1 species